rnacentral:rRNA from 1 species
AACGAACGCUGGCGGCAGGCCUAACACAUGCAAGUCGAGCGAGGACUUCGGUCCUAGCGGCGGACGGGUGAGUAACGCGUGGGAACGUGCCCUUUGCUACGGAAUAGCCCCGGGAAACUGGGAGUAAUACCGUAUGUGCCCGAGAGGGGAAAGAUUUAUCGGCAAAGGAUCGGCCCGCGUUGGAUUAGGUAGUUGGUGGGGUAAUGGCCUACCAAGCCGACGAUCCAUAGCUGGUUUGAGAGGAUGAUCAGCCACACUGGGACUGAGACACGGCCCAGACGCCUACGGGAGGCAGCAGUGGGGAAUCUUAGACAAUGGGGGAAACCCUGAUCUAGCCAUGCCGCGUGAGCGAUGAAGGCCUUAGGGUUGUAAAGCUCUUUCAGUGGGGAAGAUAAUGACGGUACCCACAGAAGAAGCCCCGGCUAACUCCGUGCCAGCCGCCGCGGUAA